rnacentral:rRNA from 1 species
GUUGACCUCGGAUCAGGUAGGAAUACCCGCUGAACUUACAACAGGGAUUGCCCUAGUAACGGCGAGUGAAGCGGCAACAGCUCAAAUUUGAAAUCUGGCCCUCGGGUCCGAGUUGUAAUUUGUAGAGGAUGCUUUUGGCGCGGUGCCUUCCGAGUUCCCUGGAACGGGACGCCUUAGAGGGUGAGAGCCCCGUACGGUUGGACACCAAGCCUCUGUAAAACUCCUUCGACGAGUCGAGUAGUUUGGGAAUGCUGCUCUAAAUGGGAGGUAAAUUUCUUCUAAAGCUAAAUAUUGGCCAGAGACCGAUAGCGCACAAGUAGAGUGAUCGAAAGAUGAAAAGCACUUUGAAAAGAGGGUUAAAUAGCACGUGAAAUUGUUGAAAGGGAAGCGUCUGCGACCAGACCUUUUCCUAGCGGAUCAACCGGUGUUCUCACCGGUGCACUUCGCUAGGUUUAGGCCAGCAUCGGUUUCUGUAGGGGGAUAAAAGCUCUGGGAACGUAGCUCCUCCGGGAGUGUUAUAGCCCUCUGCAUAAUACCCUUACGGGGACCGAGGACCGCGCUUCGGCAAGGAUGCUGGCGUAAUGGUCGUCAACGA